AGAGUUUGAUCCUGGCUCAGGAUGAAUGCUGGCGGCGCGCCUAACACAUGCAAGUCGAACGGCACCCAUCUUCGGAUGGAAGCGAGUGGCGAACGGCUGAGUAACACGUGGAGAACCUGCCCCCUCCCCCGGGAUAGCCGCCCGAAAGGACGGGUAAUACCGGAUACCCCGGGGUGCCGCAUGGCACCCCGGCUAAAGCCCCGACGGGAGGGGAUGGCUCCGCGGCCCAUCAGGUAGACGGCGGGGUGACGGCCCACCGUGCCGACAACGGGUAGCCGGGUUGAGAGACCGACCGGCCAGAUUGGGACUGAGACACGGCCCAGACUCCUACGGGAGGCAGCAGUGGGGAAUCUUGCGCAAUGGGGGGAACCCUGACGCAGCGACGCCGCGUGCGGGACGGAGGCCUUCGGGUCGUAAACCGCUUUCAGCAGGGAAGAGUCAAGACUGUACCUGCAGAAGAAGCCCCGGCUAACUACGUGCCAGCAGCCGCGGUAAUACGUAGGGGGCGAGCGUUAUCCGGAUUCAUUGGGCGUAAAGCGCGCGUAGGCGGCCCGGCAGGCCGGGGGUCGAAGCGGGGGGGCUCAACCCCCCGAAGCCCCCGGAACCUCCGCGGCUUGGGUCCGGUAGGGGAGGGUGGAACACCCGGUGUAGCGGUGGAAUGCGCAGAUAUCGGGUGGAACACCGGUGGCGAAGGCGGCCCUCUGGGCCGAGACCGACGCUGAGGCGCGAAAGCUGGGGGAGCGAACAGGAUUAGAUACCCUGGUAGUCCCAGCCGUAAACGAUGGACGCUAGGUGUGGGGGGACGAUCCCCCCGUGCCGCAGCCAACGCAUUAAGCGUCCCGCCUGGGGAGUACGGCCGCAAGGC
rnacentral:rRNA from 1 species